rnacentral:rRNA from 1 species
AUCCAGACUUUGAUCAUGGCUCAGGAUGAACGCUAGCUACAGGCUUAACACAUGCAAGUCGAGGGGCAGCGGGAUUGAAGCUUGCUUCAAUUGCCGGCGACCGGCGCACGGGUGAGUAACGCGUAUCCAACCUUCCGUACACUCAGGGAUAGCCUUUCGAAAGAAAGAUUAAUACCUGAUGGUAUGAUGAGAUUGCAUGAUAGCAUCAUUAAAGAUUUAUCGGUGUACGAUGGGGAUGCGUUCCAUUAGGUAGUAGGCGGGGUAACGGCCCACCUAGCCGACGAUGGAUAGGGGUUCUGAGAGGAAGGUCCCCCACAUUGGAACUGAGACACGGUCCAAACUCCUACGGGAGGCAGCAGUGAGGAAUAUUGGUCAAUGGACGAGAGUCUGAACCAGCCAAGUAGCGUGAAGGAUGAAGGUCCUACGGAUUGUAAACUUCUUUUAUAAGGGAAUAAACCCUUCCACGUGUGGGAGCUUGUAUGUACCUUAUGAAUAAGCAUCGGCUAACUCCGUGCCAGCAGCCGCGGUAAUACGGAGGAUGCGAGCGUUAUCCGGAUUUAUUGGGUUUAAAGGGAGCGCAGACGGGUCGUUAAGUCAGCUGUGAAAGUUUGGGGCUCAACCUUAAAAUUGCAGUUGAUACUGGCGUCCUUGAGUGCGGUUGAGGUGUGCGGAAUUCGUGGUGUAGCGGUGAAAUGCUUAGAUAUCACGAAGAACUCCGAUUGCGAAGGCAGCACACUAAGCCGUAACUGACGUUCAUGCUCGAAGGUGUGGGUAUCAAACAGGAUUAGAUACCCUGGUAGUCCACACGGUAAACGAUGGAUACUCGCUGUUGGCGAUAUACUGUCAGCGGCUUAGCGAAAGCGUUAAGUAUCCCACCUGGGGAGUACGCCGGCAACGGUGCAACUCAAAUGAAUUGACGG